rnacentral:rRNA from 1 species
AACAGAUCUAGCUUGCUAGAUGCUGACGAGUGGCGCACGGGUGCGUAACACGUAUACAAUCUACCUCUAACUGAGGGAUAGCCCAGAGAAAUUUGGAUUAAUACCUCAUAGUAUCAUAUUAAGGCAUCUUUUUAUGAUUAAAACUCCGGUGGUUAGAGAUGAGUAUGCGUUCUAUUAGUUUGUUGGUAAGGUAACGGCUUACCAAGACUACGAUAGAUAGGGGGCCUGAGAGGGUGAUCCCCCACACUGGUACUGAGACACGGACCAGACUCCUACGGGAGGCAGCAGUGAGGAAUAUUGCGCAAUGGAGGAAACUCUGACGCAGCCAUGCCGCGUGUAGGAAGAAUGUCCUAUGGAUUGUAAACUACUUUUAUACAAGAAGAAACUUUAGUACGUGUACUGAACUGACGGUAUUGUAUGAAUAAGCACCGGCUAACUCCGUGCCAGCAGCCGCGGUAAUACGGAGGGUGCAAGCGUUAUCCGGAUUUAUUGGGUUUAAAGGGUCCGCAGGCGGAAUUUUAAGUCAGUGGUGAAAGCCUACAGCUUAACUGUAGAACUGCCAUUGAUACUGGAAUUCUUGAGUGUGGUUGAAGUAGACGGAAUAUGUCAUGUAGCGGUGAAAUGCAUAGAUAUGACAUAGAACACCAAUUGCGUAGGCAGUUUACUAAACCAUUACUGACGCUCAUGGACGAAAGUGUGGGGAGCGAACAGGAUUA